rnacentral:misc_RNA from 1 species
CAAGCGGCAGGGAGCGGCGUAUGUGUGUAGGCGCUGGACUCGGACAGGUACAAAGAAGUGGAGGGGGGAGUUUGCACUUGUUCGAUCACCUGCUGCCAUUCGCUAGAAGAUCAGCGGCCGAGGAACACCUGUGUCUACGCGUCAUGCGAUCACGCGAACCGCGAGUGUCGUGUCCUAACCUCACUUUUUACCCAGUGUUUUUAUCCUAGUUCUGAUUGUUGUUCGAUUGUUUCUCACCCGUUGUCUUUUAUAACAAUUGUUGACAAUUCUGUUUAUAUCUGUGUUCAACUGAUAUAUUUGUGAAACUGUUAGGUUAUGUCAAUUAUUUUGGUGCGCCCAACGACUAUUUUUAUUGGCUCUGCUCGGAUCUUCCACCAAUAUUAAUCGGCUGAACUACGACUAACUUUGAGGUUAUGUUUGGUUUCUAGCCGGCUACGGUACAAUUCGCACGGCUAUGACCCAAACUGUGCAGUGCAUCUGACUGUGGUGACCCUGUCGAAUUUCCCAACCGUGUUUCUAGUGUUAUGGUAGUUGAGUGAUUGUGUUUUUUUUCUCUGGACGCCGUGGCAACGCAGUUCCUGUCGCCGGCUGGUGCCGCUGUCAUGAGAGAAGUUGAUACAGUCAGCCCUGUCGUUUGGCCGGCCUGGUGUUAUUCAGGAGAAGUACAGACGGAGACUGACACCGUGGCGGGGGUCGGGGUGCGCGCCGGGACGCCGGCCUCUCUUAAGGGCAGGAAGCGUCCCCUGGAGGCGACGAUGAACGGGGUGGGGGCGGACCACACCAACAACAACGUCAAGUCCGAGAGGCUUAGCCCCGCGACAGCGGACAACAACUCCAGCAGUUCCAGGAGCGGCACCCCCAGCUCCGUGUACCCGGGGACUCCGCCCUCCCAACCCGACCGACCCUCCAGUCCGUCCUCCACGGCACCCCCCGUGGACUCCCUCAUGGGCCGCAACUACAGCGACUUCAUGCGCUCCCUGGCGGCCAAGUACAACAACAACAACCCAAACGACUACUUCAGUUCGCCCAGGAACGGGUAUCCGCCCAGUCUGGACCCGCGGUUCUCCGCCUUCAAGCCAGGGGCGGCGACCCCAUUCGUGGGCCUGAUGGCGCCUUUGGGGUCCUCCUCGAGUACAUCCCCCACGGCCGGCCACCCCGCCACAACCCCCUCCAACACCAAAGAUUCCUCCGAGAGUGACCUGAAGCCAGGGAUCCCUACUCCCGCAGAAGCGCAGCAGGCCCUCUUCGCCAACUUCGGGCUGAACGCCUUCUCGCACCCCCUGCCCGGGGGUGUCCCCUUCCUGCCCCCCCUCGUGGACAUGAGCAGCACCCAGGCGCUCCUCAACAUGGUCCGCACGGCGAGCGCCCAGAGCGCGAACCAACUGGAGACCUACCUGAAGGGCGCCAUUAAGAGGCCCCCGGAGAACUCCAACAACCCCUUGGAUCUGUCCUCAAACGCCGUCACCCCGCCGCUGAAGAAGGCCCGGAAGCACACCCCUAGUUUAAGCGAGAGCCUGUACGGCCCUGACGCCCUCCUCAACUUCCCCAUUCUCAACGCUCUCCAAAGAACCACCAAGGACCGCCUGCAGUCCAAGAGAACCGGCAGUGUGUCCCCCAAACCCAAGUCCAAGCUCGCUACCUCGCCCUCCAACGCCGCCUCCGUCUCUCGGCCCUCCACCGCCAACUCCUGCCUGUCCUUGUGCUCCACCCCCGGCGAGAAACCCUGCUCCAGUUCCGCCGACACCCAGACGGUCGCCCACUGGACGGUUGACGACGUCUGCAACUUCAUCACCUCCAUCGACCUCUGUGCGGAAUAUGCGCCGAACUUCCGGGAGCAGCGGAUAGACGGGUCUGCCCUGCCCCUGCUGACGGAGGAGCACCUGACGUCGGCACUGCAGAUGAAGCUGGGACCGGCGCUGAAGUUGAGGGCAGUGCUGAGUCGUCGCUUGGGGCACUGCGCCGUGUGUCUGCACUGCGUCCACUGCCACGGUGCCGCCCCCGCCUCCAGCCCCACGCCGGCCCCCGCCACCCCCGGUGCCGCCCCCGUAUCCGCCACGCGUCCCAACAGCACCGGCAACUAGUCUAGCCCGUCCUCCCCUGUACAGAGACGUAUCGGAAGUGGAAGAGGCUUGUGUCACGGAUGUCAAAUAUAAAUACGACUUAAAGAGUAAACUCACUCUUAACCGGACAUCGGUUUUUGCCGUAGGGGUUGGAUCCAGGUGGUUUCACACGCACACACACGUGCAGAGGUUUUAAAGUGAUUAAUAUACAUCGGGUGAUUUCGAUAAAAGUACGCAUUUUUCAGGGUCGAUAGAGGAUGCGAGUACAAACAUUUUUGUCCAAUACACAUUGGGUCGUAAAUGUUUCGUUUACGACAAAAUUGAGAAUUUGUGGAACGCCUCCCUGUAGACAACACGUAGAAAUUCGGCGGGAAAAACGCAAAGCUACUGUAAUUAAAUGUGUUUUUCUUCUUAAUUACAAAUAAAAGAACCACUUAAUGGAAACAAGAAUGUAAAAAAAUUUUAUUAAUUAAAAAAAUUAUUACUAAGCAACAUAAGUGGGAGAAAACCCCCUACUCUCAAAAUGUAGGACAGUCCAUAUUACGUAACUCACCUUUGCAUCACACAAAUAGGAGAAACUUUAAACAAUUGCUGCAGUUUUUACAUUAUUUUUCACAUUGUGUGUUUUUAUGUGCUAUUACGAAAGAAAUAAAGACUCCACAUUUCUUCACGCAAACACCGAAAAAUAAAAAUAAAUUUUCUUCUUUGAUUUUAAUAUAAAUAAAUAUUGUUUUUUCUCAGAUGUUUUACUGUCGAUAAAUUCUUAAUAAAGUAGAGUAUUAAAAAAGUUGGCAUUUCGAGUUAUCGACACUCGGUUGUAUUGCAACUAAUCGAUUAGCCGAUAACUUUUCUGUUACAAUAUUACAAUACAAACUGGAUUUUUAUAACUUUUUUUAAUGAUGCGAUUAUUUAGAACUCACCUUACGGUUGAUUUGUAGACUAUAUUAUCCACCAAGGCUAAAACGGUAUAAUUUUAAAAUUUAUUUACUGUAUUUAUUGUUGACAAUUUUCGAUGACACGAGUCCCUUUUACACUUCCAAUUGUAAUUGUGAUUGUUAAGGUUUUUAUUGCAGCAUCAAAACCAAAUUUGUAAUUAUGAUGUAAUUAUUUUAAGCGUAUUUAGAUAGUAUUAACAAUUCUUGUUACUAUAGAACUGCGCGCGUUUUUCUCUUCUUAGACCACGCUGAGGCACUCGCCUGCCUUCCAUGUGCAAUGAUAAUAUUAGUGUUAAUAUUUAUAACUUAGAAAUGUCAGGGUUUUCGUAUUGUGAUAUGCUUGAUAAGAGGCGUACUUAUAAGGUAAAUUGUAGGCUACUAUUUAUAAGAUGUUUCGAAAAUUGCCAAACUUUCAACUUUAGUUUGAAGUUUAAAAUAAAUUCCAAGUGUCAUAGGACAGAAGUUUAAAACAUUUUAACUUUGCCAAAAUAACAAUUAAAGUUUUUCCAACGUGUGCCAAAUAUUAAGAAAAAUAAAUAUCAU